rnacentral:rRNA from 1 species
UACAGAGGGUGCGAGCGUUGUUCGGAAUUAUUGGGCGUAAAGGGUGCGUAGGCGGUGCGGUAAGUCUUCUGUGAAAUCUCCGGGCUCAACUCGGAGCCUGCAGGAGAAACUGCCGUGCUUGAGUAUGGGAGAGGUGAGUGGAAUUCCUGGUGUAGCGGUGAAAUGCGUAGAGAUGUGGAGGAACACCGAUGGCGAAGGCGGCCCUCUGGGUCGUUGCUGACGCUGAGACGCGAAAGCGUGGGGAGCAAACAGG